GAGUAGUCCUGCAAUAAAUGAUCAUUGAAACGACAUCCACAAAUCGUAACUUGAUGGUUCUUGUUUUUCAGAAGGAGGCAGGAGAGAGCAGACUCCCCUGGACCCAGCUGUGUCUCCAUGAAGAGUGACUGGUCCAUGGAUAACCCUCCUGACCUUAAAGAUGGACGCCCCUCCAGAGAGGAGAGACCAAACCAGAAGAAUUCAAAGGUUACCAGGCCUGUACAGCAGCAUCAAACAGAGCUGAUCAAGAGGGCUGAGGAGAACGCACACGCUUUCCUAGACAAGGAGCU